GACGAACGCUGGCGGCGUGCCUAAUACAUGCAAGUAGAACGCUGAAGGAGGAGCUUGCUUCUCUGGAUGAGUUGCGAACGGGUGAGUAACGCGUAGGUAACCUGCCUGGUAGCGGGGGAUAACUAUUGGAAACGAUAGCUAAUACCGCAUAAUAGUAGAUGUUGCAUGACAUUUGCUUAAAAGGUGCAAUUGCAUCACUACCAGAUGGACCUGCGUUGUAUUAGCUAGUUGGUGGGGUAACGGCUCACCAAGGCGACGAUACAUAGCCGACCUGAGAGGGUGAUCGGCCACACUGGGACUGAGACACGGCCCAGACUCCUACGGGAGGCAGCAGUAGGGAAUCUUCGGCAAUGGACGGAAGUCUGACCGAGCAACGCCGCGUGAGUGAAGAAGGUUUUCGGAUCGUAAAGCUCUGUUGUAAGAGAAGAACGAGUGUGAGAGUGGAAAGUUCACACUGUGACGAUAUCUUACCAGAAAGGGACGGCUAACUACGUG
rnacentral:rRNA from 1 species